rnacentral:lncRNA from 1 species
CCUUGAUGGGGAAGAUGAGGACCUUGAACAUGACUAAAGGCAUCAGAAGACACUCUUGGAGCUUUUAAACUGGGUACCUUCUUUCAGGUAACACUGAACUAAAGCCAGUCCAAGACUGCACCCAAUGAACACCUGUUGCUAACUGGCCACAGGACUUGAAAAGAGUUGUGGAGAACAGGAGAGGUGCCUGAGAACUAGAGGAAAGCCAAAGUCACUCCAGACUUCAAAGAGGGCAAGGAGGAGCCAGGAAACUACAGGCCAGUCGGCCUCACCUCUGCCCCCGGGAAGGUGGUGGAACAACUUAUUCUGGAUGUCAUCUCCAACUAAAAGCGGAAGAAUUCCCAUGACUCUGUGAUUGAUCUGGAAGGUUUCUUCUCCUUCUUCUGUGUAUGGAUAUCCCACACUUGCUUACAGUGAAAGAGCCUGAAGCAAUACCCUGAAGUAUUCACUGUAUCCAAGGACCAUAUUUCAGUUUGUUCAUUUGUUUUUCAAGAGCCUGAGCGUUCGAGAGAAGUAAAAUGCCAUGUAUGGUAGCAGUAUGUUCACUCACUCUUGUCAUACGUGCUUUCAAGACUCAUUUGACUUUGCUCAUUGACUCUGAACUGUGGUUACAAC